rnacentral:rRNA from 1 species
GACGAACGCUGGAGGCGUGCUUAACACAUGCAAGUCGAACGAUGAAAUGGAGCUUGCUCCAUGGAUUAGUGGCGAACGGGUGAGUAACACGUGAAUAACCUGCCCUUAAUUUUGGAAUAACCCAGGGAAACCUGGGCUAAUACCGGAUAAGUAAACCUGUGGCAUCACAUGGUUUUGGAAAGUUUUUCGAUUAAGGAUGGAUUCGCGGCCUAUCAGCUUGUUGGUGAGGUAAUGGCUCACCAAGGCGACGACGGGUAGCCGGCCUGAGAGGGUGAACGGCCACACUGGGACUGAGACACGGCCCAGACUCCUACGGGAGGCAGCAGUGGGGAAUAUUGCUCAAUGGACGAAAGUCUGACGCAGCGACGCCUCGUGAGGGACGAAGGUCUUCGGAUUGUAAACCUCUUUCAGCUGGGACGAAGCGAAAGUGACGGUACCUGCAGAAGAAGCACCGGCUAACUAUGUGCCAGCAGCCGCAGUAA